UACUCCAGCGCCCCCGCGAUCACCGAC
rnacentral:sRNA from 1 species